GUGGUUUCUAACCAUAAUUAAAGGUCUUUGAGCCUAUUAUUCGGGAUCCUAGAGAAGCUAAAUAAGAAGACGAACCUGAUGAAGAUUAUUUAGCUAUCUGUAAACUAUUUUAAAUGAUGAAAUAAUAACUUGAAGUUUGUCCUUGUUUCUGACUCAAAAGUUUUGCCUUAAGUAUGAAUAAAAAUAUGUAAUUUUUAAAAGAAUUACUGACUGGGGAAGUUUCCUUACAAUAUUAAAGAAAGAAUGCUUGCUUUUCUUACUAAGAAACAAGGGUUAGGUUUAUAUUAGUAAUAUAUUUUAAAAUACCUUAUGUAUGUACCAGUCUUUAAUCAGUGGCAAUUGUCAUGUUGAUGUAAUUGACAGUAGAGGACAAGAAGGAAAAAAGUGAAAUGGUAGCCUCAACAUACUGGAUAAUCUUCUAUUGUAAAGUAAUAAACUUGGAGAGCUGAAGACUCAGUUAUUAAGGGAGCGUACUACUCUGACAGAAGACCCAAGUUUAGUUUCCAGGAGCCACAUUGGGUGUAUAACAAUGGCCAAUAAUCCUAGCUCCAGGAUAUCUGGCACCUUCUUCUGGUCUCUAAGAGCACUAAAUUUACACAGAGAAAGCCCAUAAGCAUACAUAUUCAUGAAGUUAUUUUUAUUAAUUUAAAAAUUAUUGAGAGAUAAAAUUUCAACAAAACCUAAGGAUUAUUGUCAACAUGAGCCUUUGAUGUGAACUGGGUGUUAGUCAUUGUGUUUUGAAUAUUUUAGUGGCAUGUUGUACUGUAUAGUCUAACAAAAAUUAUGCUGAUUCAA